rnacentral:rRNA from 1 species
CCUACGGGGGGCAGCAGUGAGGAAUAUUGGUCAAUGGGCUUACGCCUGAACCAGCCACGUCGCGUGAGGGAAGACUGCCCUAUGGGUUGUAAACCUCUUGUGUCAGGGAGCAACGCCGUCUACGUGUACCCGGACUGAGAGUACCUGAAGAAAAAGCAUCGGCUAACUCCGUGCCAGCAGCCGCGGUAAUACGGAGGAUGCCAGCGUUAUCCGGAUUUAUUGGGUUUAAAGGGUGCGUAGGCGGAAUGCCAAGUCAGCGGUAAAAUCGCGGGGCUCAACCUCGCUCCGCCGUUGAGACGGGCGGUCUUGAGUAGGCGUGAAGUAUGCGGAAUGCGUGGUGUAGCGGUGAAAUGCAUAGAUAUCACGCAGAACUCCGAUUGCGAAGGCAGCAUACCGGCGCCCAACUGACGCUGAAGCACGAAAGCGUGGGUAUCGAACAGGAUUAGAUACCCGUGUAGUC